UACGUAGGGGGCAAGCGUUGUCCGGAUUUAUUGGGCGUAAAAGGCUUGUAGGUGGCCACGCCAAGUCGGAUGUGAAAUCUCCCGGCUCAACUGGGAGGGGUCAUUCGAUACUGGCGGGCUCGAGGCCGGUAGGGGGAAGUGGAAUUCCCGGUGUAGUGGUGGAAUGCGCAGAUAUCAGGAGGAACACCAAUAGCGAAGGCGGCUUCCUGGACCGACACUGACGCUGAGGCGCGAAAGCUAGGGGAGCAAACGGG
rnacentral:rRNA from 1 species